GGCUGCAGUCGAGGAUCUUCGGCAAUGGGCGCAAGCCUGACCGAGCGACGCCGCGUGGAGGAUGAAGGCCUUCGGGUUGUAAACUCCUGUCGAGGGGGAGGAAGGGGAAACCUUGACCGAUCCCUGGAGGAAGCACGGGCUAGGUUCGUGCCAGCAGCCGCGGUAAGACGAACCGUGCGAACGUUAUUCGGAAUCACUGGGCUUAAAGCGCGUGUAGGCGGAUGGGAACGUCGGAUACUGAAAGCCCCCGGCUCAACCGGGGAAGUGGUUCCGAAACGACCUGUCUGGAGGGACGUAGGGGGAUCUGGAACUUCCGGUGGAGCGGUGAAAUGCGUUGAGAUCGGAAGGAACGCCCGUGGCGAAAGCGAGGUCCUGGACGUCUGCUGACGCUGAGACGCGAAAGCUAGGGGAGCAAACGGGAUUAGAUACCCCGGUAGUCCUAGCCGUAAACGAUGGGCACUGGGUAGGGGGCUCGCCGAUGGGCUCUCUGCCGUAGCGAAAGCGUGAAGUGCCCCGCCUGGGGAGUAUGGUCGCAAGGCUGAAACUCAAAGGAAUUGACGGGGGCUCACACA
rnacentral:rRNA from 1 species